rnacentral:lncRNA from 1 species
UACCAUGUGGUGAGCCAUUUGCACGAGCUGGGUCCUGAGCUUGGUUAAUUCUAAUAUACUGGUUGGUAGACAGUACUGUCUGCAUUUGAUUCAGGGCCUGAUGAAAUAAGAGCCCCACAAUAGGGCACAUUUGGAACCUCUGCAUAGAAACCAGGCCGAGCAAGGAUUUUACUCACCUCCUGGAUUGAUCUCCCCAGAUUUGUGGCUUAAAAACUACCUAGACAGUUACAGGCUAUGGGAAUGCUUUCCCCAUUGUGGGCCAACCCCAUCACUAGGCAAAGUCGACUGGAUGGCUGUUUCUGCAUUUUGAAGCUUGGAAAAAUUCUUGCCCAACCCAGGAAGGCCUUCAGUUGAAGCAAGAAUAGAAGCUAAUAGAGGCUUCUUCCCCCAACCAGGACUCACCAACCACUCAGGCACUCCAUUUAGUGGGUGGACAGAUUAAGAAACUGAGGCUGAGAAAGGCUAAGUAACUCACCGAAGAUGCAGAAAUGAUGAAUGGCAGAGCCAAGACUUGAACCCUCACUCUGCACUAUUAGGCUACGUGGCUUCAACAUGCCUAGGCUCUAAG